rnacentral:tRNA from 1 species
ACGUCGAUGCUCUGGGAGCAACGCGGAUUCCAACCCCGCGGAGGUGGGUUCGAAACCUGCUCGGCGUGCCA